AGGGGCAGAAGCAGAGGGGCAGGGGGGGGGGCAGAUCUGUCGUCUGAGUUGUCUGGUGAUCCUGUGCUGUUCUCUCUGCAGACAGUCCUGUCUUGUGUAUAUAUAACAGCCAUGUGCCAAAGUGAGGUCAUAUUACAUGUGAGGUCAUAUUACAUGUGUAACAGUGAGGUCAUAUUACAUGUGUAACAGCCUGAGGUCAUAUUACAUGUGAGGUCAUAUUACAUGUGUCACAGUCUGAGGUCAUAUUACAUGUGAGGUCAUAUUACAUGUGUGUGUCACAGCCUGAGGGCUUUAUUACUGUAAGCCAACACAGCACAAGGACAAGCAUGUGCACAAUACCAAAGGAACUAUUUUAUAUUCAAUGUUCUGUUCCUAAAUUAUUUGUCAAUUUUGUGUUUUUGUAUGUUUCAAGCGGUU
ensembl:lncRNA